rnacentral:rRNA from 1 species
UACGUAGGGUGCGAGCGUUGUCCGGAAUUAUUGGGCGUAAAGGGCUCGUAGGCGGUUUGUCGCGUCGGGAGUGAAAACCUUGGGCUUAACUCAGGGCUUGCUUUCGAUACGGGCAGACUAGAGGUAUGCAGGGGAGAACGGAAUUCCUGGUGUAGCGGUGAAAUGCGCAGAUAUCAGGAGGAACACCGGUGGCGAAGGCAGGUCUCUGGGCCACUACUGACGCUGAGAAGCGAAAGCAUGGGGAGCGAACAGG